GGUUCUAUAGUGUAGCGGUUAUCACACAGGAUUCUGAUUGUCAUUAUUUCCCUUUGAUUCCUGUAACCCCGGUUCGAUUCCGGGUAGGACCU